GUGCCAGCCGCCGCGGUAAUACGUAGGUGGCAAGCGUUAUCCGGAAUUAUUGGGCGUAAAGCGCGCGUAGGCGGUUUUUUAAGUCUGAUGUGAAAGCCCACGGCUCAACCGUGGAGGGUCAUUGGAAACUGGAAAACUUGAGUACAGAAGAGGAAAGUGGAAUUCCAUGUGUAGCGGUGAAAUGCGCAGAGAUAUGGAGGAACACCAGUGGCGAAGGCGACUUUCUGGUCUGUAACUGACGCUGAUGUGCGAAAGCGUGGGGAUCAAACA
rnacentral:rRNA from 1 species